rnacentral:lncRNA from 11 species
UGUUUCUUUGCUUUCUCUGUAAAGUAUCAGAGCAGAUUUUGGAUAGGCUGCUAUGCCCAUUCAGCUACCUCUCUCUUUGGUCUCCUGAUUAUUUCUCUGUCAGGAAGAAUUUUAUUUUGGAGCCAGUUUUCAACCAAAAUCAUCCAGACAUAAUAGCUUCCUGUGAACCCCAGGCUGGAGAUUGUGUGCUAAGAACUGCAAAGCUUCUCUUCACUUGCAUAAAACCUAGAAGCCAUUUUAUAGAGAUCUAAGAUACCAUGACCUACUUUGAGCUCUUUUAUCACCAGCCCCUUACUUACCCAAUGCUUCAUUGCAACAAUUUUCUUCAGCUGAUUUUUUAAAAUUAUGGAAGUCUAAAAUGAAAGUGUAGAGCUUGUUAACAAACAAAAAUAUGUUGAAAUCUAGUUGAACAAGGAGUGGGAUAAUAGUAUACAAAGGGAUUUUGUAGUACCUUAGAGACUGACAUUACAUCUAUACUGACCAUUUAAUGUGCACUGACCAUUUAAUGCAGCUACAAACUGACUCUAAAUUUGGUGGCCACAUGGCGCAUGCUACAGCAUGGAUUAAAAGGUAUACAGUGCAUUAAAGAAAGCAGUAGUACAAUCCCAUUGUAUGGCAUGGACUUAAACAAAAGCUACCAUGAAAAAGACAGAAACGUUUGAAAUGUAGAGGUAUUACAAAAUCUUAAGACUUCUGUGGACUAAAUGGGCAACCAAUUGAGAAGUAUUAAAGAAAAUGUACAAAGACCAAGAAAAUAUAAAACCAAUAAAAUGCAAAACAUUUUCUGGAAUAUUUUGCUUAUAUUAUAAGAAGUGAAUGAUCCAGGUUGCUAAACAAAUGAUUAAAAAUAAAGUGAAUGGGAAA